AGGAUCGUGAUUCAUCCUCUUCUUUUCUUCACUUUCUUCUUUGCACAAACCUGUGGCUACAAUUUCACUAUUUUACCGCCACCCUUAUUAUCGGAAAAAAGUCCGAUCAAGAAGUUUUCAUUUACUUGACACCGCCCCUACACAUCUGCUUGAGGUUCAAGGGGUGUGGCGGCGGUCGGGAUUUUAACGUGUAUGUUACACGAAUUUUCAUUUUUAAAACCCUCCCACCCUCCACCCCACACACACCAGCCAUAGGCAACUUUCUAAAUCCUAUUAUCACUUUCAGAUUGACGUGUUUUGCGGAUACGAUCCAUAAUGGAACAAGUUGGAAUACUCCAGGACCAGCUUCAAGUGUCACACCAUUACCAGAAUUACCAACUGUAUCAGUACAACCAAGAGCUAUUCUGGAUCGGAAAUUGUUAAAGAAAGGUUCACGAGCAGGAGUACAGGGGUUAAUUCAUUGGCAGGGUUUACCGGUGACUGAGGUGACGUGGGAAGAUCUUGAGGAAUUGAAAAAGCGUUUCCCUAAUUUUGAAUUUUGAGGUCAAAAUUCGUGUUAAUUGGGGGGAGUAUUGUUACAGUAUGAUAGUAUGGGGGGAGGGGUAAAAUGUAAUAGUUGUCUGGAAAUAAUAAGGAAGGGUUGAGAGGUCAAUAGUUAUAAGUCAAGGGGGUUAAUUGUAAUUUAGGUUGUUAGUCGUUGUGAGUCGUUGAAGCUGUAUAAGUAACAGUAUUAACGAACUGAAUGAGAUAGCUUGAUUGAUCGUGACUUCUUCUA